rnacentral:lncRNA from 1 species
AGCAUAUGCAUCUUUAAUGAUGAAAGUAUCACAACUAUACAAAAUUGUGUCUCUAAAUGAAGUAAACGAAGCAAACAAUAAACACAAAAGAAUGAAAGCUAAAUCUUCUUUAUCAUACUUUACCCCUAAGUCUUCAAACAACGAUGAUUUCCUUAAAAAUAGCCAAAAUGAUCUUCCAAUGAUCUGUCUUCUGUUAUGCGAUAAGAAUACAAACUUGACUUCAUGUGCAAUUUACUUGUCAAACUCUUAAUCAUAUAGAAUUACUCCAACUUCGACCACAAUGUUCAAAACUUUCUUAAGAAUAUUAUUCGAAAGAUGAAAAUGAAUUUGUAAACGAAACUUCUGAUCCUUCGAUUGUUUCUCCUCCGUCGUCCAAGUUGUGGGCAUCUUAUCAAAUUCCAACAAUGCAUCAUCCAAAUCCAUCUAAGUGAGUACUGCAUCAUCUCACAACAAGAAUCGUGUACUGCGAUCCAAAAGUAGAAUGUCAUAAUUCAAGGUUGACAUCAAUAACAAGAAACCUCGAAAAAAUCAAAUGAAAGCUCUGAUAUCAUUUGAUGGGAAUUUGGACGAGAUUAUAUGGCAUGAUAUGAAGUAUUGAUCACAACAACAAGAAGAACACAAAGACAACUUUAAUUUAACAGAGAAAUUAGAGAUCCUAUUCA